UGUCUGAGAGAUUCUGUUACUCCAUAUCCUCACCAGCAUUUGGUGUUGUCAGUGUUCCAGAUUUUGGCCAUUCUAACAGGAUUCUAUCGAACUAUCCUCAAGUACAGAGAUUCUUUCCUCAGCAGUCCAGUCUACUAAUAAGCCCAUCAAAGUGAAUACUGCUGCCUGCCACCUGCUGCACAGAGCGGGGUGUUGCUCCAGGACGUUGCUUCAGACAUUGGUAAAGAUUAGCCUGAAGAGCUCAACCACCACAUCAGCUGGAAACUGAGGGAUGAUGUUGACCUUUUCUGACCCUCGUGACUUCAGUCAACUAAAGCUCGGACUCUGUCAGACAGCCCAAGCCCCUCCAUGAAUAUGCAUGGCCCUUAGCUUAACACUUCCCCAGUUCUGCUGUUUGGGGUGACACUGCUUUGGGAAAGAGCCCCAGUGUUCUCCUUACUGGCUGCAAGUGAUAAAUCCUUCUUCCUCCCGAUCUUUGGCUUGGUUGUCUUUUAGCUCGACACCCACCAAAAGGGGAACCCUGUUUUGGGGUAACAGUUUUUUCUUGAUAGCCAAACACAAUGUACCAGUAAAAGAAAGUGCUGUAAAUAGGCCUUUAGUAAUGUGGUGGUGAGGUGUGAGCGGAGGGAAAGCAUUCUGUAGUCCUCUGUAGGUCUGUCCUUCAGUCAGCCUGUGCCUCUGUACUGUGAAUUUCACGAGUGUUUCUCCCCCGCUUGUGUGGAGAGGAUGGCUAGAAGGGGGCUGGAGUUGGGUAAUUCUCUUCUUCCACAUGCAAGGCUAGAGUUGGGUCUCUCCCUUCCUGUCAGUUAGGCUCUGACAAUACCCCAGCAGCUUAGGCUCUGGCUAACUAGCUUCCCCUCAGGGCAGACUUUGUUAAGAAGGACAGAAUGCUCUGGAAUAUUUCAAAAUGGUUUCUUUUCUCACACCUGUGCGGGGGAAGGCUGAGGGAAUUCUUCUCACACGUUUAUUACAGGAGCUCCUGGAGGUAAAUUUCACAACAUUGUGCAGGCGCCCUAUAACUGGGUCCCCUGGAGUUUUUAACUCU